rnacentral:rRNA from 1 species
GACAGAGGGUGCGAACGUUGUUCGGAAUUACUGGGCGUAAAGGGCUCGUAGGCGGCCAACUAAGUCAGACGUGAAAUCCCUCAGCUUAACUGGGGAACUGCGUCUGAUACUGGAUGGCUUGGAUUCGGGAGAGGAAUGCGGAAUUCCAGGUGUAGCGGUGAAAUGCGUAGAUAUCUGGAGGAACACCGGUGGCGAAGGCGGCAUUCUGGACCGACAUUGACGCUGAGGAGCGAAAGCCAGGGGAGCAAACGGG